AUGUUGGCAUGGUCCUCCCUGGAGGAGUUUAUGAGUCUGUUAGAGGGUAUUAAUGUUAAGGAGUCCCUGGACAGAAUAUUAGGCCAUCAGGCCAGGAAAUGUUUUUCAUUAGACAUCUUUUCCUCCAUAUGGAGCUCCUUCCUACAGCCGAGAUUAGCAGAGAUGUUCUAUUACAGGAGAGAUGUACUAUUACAGCAGAGAUGUACUAUUACAGCAGAGAUGUACUAUUACAGGAGAGAUUGUACUAUUACAGCAGAGAUGUACUAUUACAGCAGAGAUGUACUAUUACAGCAGAGAUGUACUAUUACAGCAGAGAUGUUCUAUUACAGGAGAGAUGUACUAUUACAUGAGAGAUGUACUAUUACAGCAGACAUGUACUAUUACAUAAAGAGAUGUACUAUUACAGCAGAGAUGUACUAUUACAGGAUAGAUGUACUAUUACAGGAUAGAUGUACUAUUACAGGAGAUAUGUACUAUUGCAGGAGAGAUGUUCUAUUACAGGAGAGAUGUUCUAUUACAGGAGAGAUGUACUAUUACUGGAGAGAUGUACUAUUACAGCAGAGAUGUACUAUUACAGGAGAGAUGUACUAUUACAGCAGAGAUGUUCUAUUACAUGAGAUAUGCACUAUUACAGCAGAGAUGUACUAUUACAUGAGAGAUGUACUAUUACAGCAGAGAUGUACUAUUUCAGCAGAUAUGUACUAUUACAUGAGAGAUGUACUAUUACAGCAGAUAUUUACUAUUACAGCAGAGAUGUUCUAUUACAUAAAGAGAUGUACUAUUACAGCAGAGAUGUACUAUUACAGUAGAGAUGUACUAUUACAGCAGAGAUGUACAAUUACAGCAGAGAUUUACUAUUACAGCAGAGAUGUUCUAUUACAUAAAGAGAUGGGGUGCGUCCCAAAUGGAUCCCUGUUAAAAUAUCCUAAUAAAUACUCUAUUGGCCCUAAUAAAGUACCCCAAAAAAUUCAAUAGAUAGUGCAUUGUAGGGCCUGUAGGUCUCUGGUCAAAUCUAGUCAAACGUAGUGCACUAUAGAAUAGGGUGCUGUUUGGGAUGCAGACAUGGACUAGUACACCUUUGGGAUGCUAGCAGAUGCUAGCCUGUGGGAUACAGUGGGUUUCAGUUAGCUAGCUGAGCAGCUUGUAUAGAGGUAUAUAGCACCUAAAUGUCCUGUAAAACUGCAUAUACUGUAGCUUACAGAGAGAGAAUCAUAGAUUCAUUUGAAAAAAAAAAAUCUAAAUCCCAUUUAGAAUUGUACAUUCAUUUGAAAGUUUGGUAUUGUAAAAAUAGUUAUUGUGUCCGCUGCUGUUGAACCAUUCCACAGGUCCCAGCGGAUUGGCUUUCAAAUGUAUUUGCAGGUCCCUGUUUUCACCUCCAUAGCAACCAUUAAAGCCUGUGUGUGUUUUAGUACUCACUUACAUUUUAGUCAUUUAGCAGACACUCUUAUCCAGAGCGACUUACAAUUAGUGUAUUCAUAGUUAGAUAGCUAGGUGGGACAACCACAAAUCACAGUCGUAGCAAGUACAUUUUCCCUCAAUAAAGUCAUUAUCAGAAAAGUCAGUGGUAGUAGGGCUCAGUGGAGAUACUCGUUGAAGAAGUAGGGUUUCAGACAUUUUCGAAAGAUGGACAUGGACUCUGCUGUCCUAGCUUCCAUAAUUUUGAGGAACUGUUGCUGCAUUCCUAUUAAGCAGCACUGCAUAUUCAAUGGAUGACACUCCUCUUAUUGGUCUCCUGAGACACAUACACACAUGUGUGCAUCAACACACACCCUUGUUGGUGUAACAGAGUGAGGUUUCCUUGGAACCAUGGUGCAUUGGUAAAUCCUCCCUCUGUCCCUCACUGAUACGAUUUAUAGUCUCCCUGAUACACACACACACACACACACACACACACACACACACACUAAUAGAAACACAUAUACACACACACACAUUCACCUGAUAUAGAAUACCUGAUGUAUUGCUCACCUGAUAUAGAAUACCGGAUGUAUUGCUCACGGGAUAUAGCAUACCUGGUUUACUGCUCACCUGAUAUAGCAUACCUGGUUUACUGCUCACCUGAUAUAGCAUACCUGGUUUAUUGCUCACCUGAUACAGAAUACCUGAUGUAUUGCUCACCUGAUAUAGAAUACCGGAUGUAUUCCUCACCUGAUAUAGCAUACCUGGUUUAUUGCUCACCUGAUACAGAAUACCUGAUGUAUUGCUCACCUGAUAUAGAAUACCGGAUGUAUUCCUCACCUGAUAUAGCAUACCUGGUUUAUUGCUCACCUGAUACAGAAUACCUGAUGCAUUGCUCACCAAAAAAUAGAAUGCAUCAUGGUAAGCUGCAAUUAUCACAGCUGUUUUUCAACAGGACAAUGACCCAACACACCUCCAGGCUGUAUACAGGCUUUUUGACUAAGAAGGAGAAUGAUGGAGUGCUGCAUCAGAUGACUUGGCCUCCACAAUCACCCAGCCUCAAUAUGGUUUGAGGUGAUUUGGACCGCAGAGUGAAGGAACAGCAAGUACUCAGCAUUUGUGGGAACUCCUUCAAGACUAUUGGAAAAGCAUUCCAGGUGAAGCUGGUUGAGAGAAUGCAAAGCUAUCAUCAAGGCAAAGGGUGGCUACUUUGAAGAAUCUAAAAUCAAACAUAUUUUUUGUUUAACACUUUCUUGGUUACCACACAAUUCCAUGUGUUAUUUCAUAGUUUUGUUGUCUUCACUAUUAUUCUAAAAUGUAGAAAAUAGUAAAAAUAAAGAAAAACCAUUGAAUUUAAAAAAAUUUUUUUUUAUUUUUUUACCUAUAUUUUACUAGGCAAGUCAGUUAAGAACAAAUUCUUAUUUUCAAUGACGGCCUAGGAACAGUGGGUUAACUGCCUGUUCAGGGGAAGAACGACAGAUUUGAAUGAGUAGGUGUGUGCAAACUUUUGACUUGUUCUGUAUACCCUGAGUGUAUUUUUCUCAGAACAGCCUUCAUUCGUCGGGGCAUGAACUCUAAAAGGUGUCGAAAGUGUUCCACAGGGAAGCUGGCCCAUGUUGACUCCAAUGCUUCCCACAGUUGUGUCAAGUUGACUGGAUGUCCUUUGGGCUGUGGACCUUUCUUGAUACACACGGGAAACUGUUGAGCGUGAAAAACCCGGCAGCAUUGCAGUUCUUGGCACACUCAAACCGGUGCGCCUGGCACCUACUACCAUACCCCAUUCAAAGACACUUAAAUCCUUUGUCUUGCCCAUUCACCUUCUGAAUGGCUCACAUACACAAUCCAUGUGGCGCCCCCCCUUGGGUGGCGGAGAUCUUUGUGGGCUAUACUCAGCCUUGUCUCAGGAUGGUAAGUUGGUGGUUGAAGGUAUCCCUCUAGUGGUGUGGGGGCUGUGCUUUGGCAAAGUGGGUGGGGUUAUAUCCUUCCUGUUUGGCCCUGUCUGGGGGUGUCCUCGGAUGGGGCCACAGUGUCUCCUGACCCCUCCUGUCUCAGCCUCCAGUAUUUAUGCUGCAGUAGUUUGUGUCGGGGGGGCUAGGGUCAGUUUGUUUUAUCUGGAGUACUUCUCCUGUCCUAUUUGGUGUCCUGUGUGAAUUUAAGUGUGCUCUCUCUAAUUCUCUCUUUCUCUCUUUCUUUCUCUCUCUCGGAGGACCUGAGCCCUAGGACCAUGCCUCAGGACUACCUGACAUGAUGACUCCUUGCUGUCCCCAGUCCACCUUGCCGUGCUGCUGCUCCAGUUUCAACUGUUCUGCCUUAUUAUUAUUGGACCAUGCUGGUCAUUUAUGAACAUUUGAACAUCUUGGCCAUGUUCUGUUAUAAUCUCCACCCGGCACAGCCAGAAGAGGACUGGCCACCCCUCAUAGCCUGGUUCCUCUCUAGGUUUCUUCCUCGGUUUUGGCCUUUCUAGGGAGUUUUUCCUAGCCACCGUGCUUCUACACCUGCAUUGCUUGCUGUUAGGGGUUUUAGGCUGGGUUUCUGUACAGCACUUUGAGAUUUCAGCUGAUGUACGAAGGGCUAUAUGAAUAAAUUUGAUUUGAUUUGAUGUCUCAAUUUUCUCAAGGCUUAAAAGUAAUUCUACUGCAGUGUGCUAAAUCAGGGUGUUUCUUGGUAGUCUUAAACAAAUCUACUUUGAAACAAAAGUAUACACCUCACACACAUGUUUAGGGGCUUAAAAAAAUAAGACACCUAUACCAUGUCAGAUAUAGAGUUGAAAUGUAUUACUUUAUGAGUUUGCAUACCAAUAUUACACUUUAUAUAAGUCACAGAAGACUGAAAUAUAACAAAACCGUUUGACAUAGAAAAAAAAAAAAAAAAACGAAGACAAAAGCACACACACACACACACACACACACACACACUUUUACACUAAUCGUUUGCUGCUGCUACUCUGUUCCUUAUUUUACUCUUACUAUUAUCUAUCCUGAUGUCUAGUCACUUUACCCUGCCUUCAUGUACAUAUCUACCUCAAAUACCUUAUUAUUAUCUAUCAUGAUGUCUAGUCACUUUACCCUGCCUUCAUGUACAUAUCUACCUCAAAUACCUUAUUAUUAUCUAUCCUGAUGCCUAGUCACUACCCUGCCUUCAUGUACAUAUCUACCNNNNNNNNNNUGUACUAUUACAGGAGAGAUGUACUAUUACAGCAGAGAUGUUCUAUUACAGGAGAGAUGUACUAUUACAGCAUAUAUGUACUAUUACAGGAGAGAUGUUCUAUUACAGGAGAGAUGUACUAUUACAGCAGAGAUGUACUAUUACAGGAGAGAUGUACUAUUACAGCAGAGAUGUACUAUUACAGCAGAGAUGUUCUAUUACAGGAGAGAUGUACUAUUACAGCAGACAUGUACUAUUACAGGAGAGAUGUUAUAUUACAGGAGAGAUGUACUAUUACAAGAGAGAUGUACUAUUACAGCAGAGAUGUACUAUUACAGGAGAGAUGU
rnacentral:lncRNA from 13 species